ACCUAGCCCCCUUCACCUGUGUCACAGUUAACUCAAGACACGCUCCUAGCUCUCUCCCAGAAUUCCUCAUUGGGACCCACCCACAGUGGUAACUGGCUUGAUGACACACCCUCCCUGGCUCCAGAGUUUCCUACCGUCUCCUCCUACAUACACUACUAGUUGACAGUCACUCCGUUCCUUGUUUCAGGGCCUGCUUUCUUUCAGAGGUACCCAAGCUGAAACACUCAGUUCCACUUCUCCUGCCUGCGUGUGAAUAGCUAGGCCCCCCCGGCAUACCAUCUUUCUGGAGUGAUUUUGAACUAAUACUGAUCUGGGGAAUCCACCAGCUGAAGUGGUUUUUAUUUCAGCCUGAGGUUCUUUCUCUUUGGAAACUCUGCACCCAAGGUCUUUAAACCACACUCUAAGCUGAUCCACACAAACUGGGGAGCCCGCUGGGAUGUGUUUUCUAAAAACGGAUUUCCAAGAAUUUCUUACUUGCGGUCUUUAUUUCCAUUUAGUGACUUGAAUUCUUACACAAACAUAAAGCAAGUACUGGUUGCACAGGUCUUUGCUGAAUCCCCCCCAGGUGCUGUGUAAGCAACCACGGUGAUCCUUGUCAUCAAGGAUCUGGUCUCUGUCAUGAUGUCUGUUAGAGUUCCCCCAGGACUUAUCACCUCGCUAUGGAAACCAAAAACUGUUCUCUGCAAUGCCCCAAAAAUGCUACCAGCAAAGCAAUCCUACCAAGCACUUGUAUGUUUUUAAAGUGAAUCUCGGAGAUCACUGGAGAGAAGAAUGUCAAAGCCACAGAUGCAUGCAAAAGAAAUGCAGAAGAAGCAGCAAGCCCAGGUGUUAGCAUUCGAGGACUCCCUGAUGGAGUUCGGGUCAGCGAAAGAGUGUCAUCUGAGGCAACUCCAGCAACUGAAGAAAAAACUGCUGGCCCUUCAGCGAGAACUAGAGUUUCGCACCGAUGAAUUACAGACUUCCUACUGCUCCCUCCUGCAGUACCAGUCCAUCUUGGAGAAGCAGACAUCUGACCUGGUUAUACUGCACCAUCACUGCAAGCUGAAAGAAGAUGAGGUGAUUCUCUAUGAGGAGGAAAUGGGAAAUCAUGAGAACGCAGGGGAGAAGCUCCAUUUGGCACAGGAGCAGCUUGCCUUGGCCGGGGACAAGAUCAUCUCCCUCGAAAGGAGCCUGAACCUCUACAGGGAUAAAUACCAGACUUCCCUGAGCAACAUCGAGUUGCUGGAGUGCCAAGUGAAGAUGCUGGAAGGCGAGCUCAGCGGACUCAUCAGUCAGGAGCCUGAGAACAAGGGUGACCACUCAAAGGUGCGUCUAUACCCUUCUCCCUGCAUGAUUCAAGAGCACCAGGAGACCAUGAAGCGACUGUCUGAAGUCUGGCAGAAGGUCUCUGAGCAGGAUGAUCUAAUCCAGGAGCUUCGAAAUAAACUGGCCUGCAGUAAUGCUUUGGUUCUGGAGCGUGAAGAGGCUUUGAUAAAGUUACAAGCAGACUUUGCUUCUUACACAGCUACCCACAGACAUCCUCCCUGCACUGCAGAAGACUGUGAGGACAUCAAAAAGAUACUGAAGCACCUGCAGGAACAGAAAGACAGCCAGUGCCUGCACGUGGAGGAGUACCAGAGCCUCGUGAAGGACCUGAGCACGGAACUGGAGGCCGUGUCAGAACAGAAGAAAAACAUCAUGAAGGACAUGAUGAAGCUGGAGCUGGACCUGCAUGGGCUGCGGGAGGAGACGUCCACCCACAUGGAGAGGAAGGACAAAGAGUCUGCCCUCCUGCAGCACCGGCUGCAGGAGUUGCAGCUGCAGUUCACUGAGACCCAGAAGCUGGCAAUCGUGAAAGAAAAGUUACUCCAAGAAAAGGAUGAAAUGCUGAACGAGCUGGAGAAGAAGCUGGCGCAGGUGCAGAACAGCCUCCUGAAGAAGGAGGUGGAGAUGGAGGAGCAGCAUUGCCUGAUGAGGGAACUCGAAAUCACCUUCAAGGAGAAAGCCAGGAUGGAGUACGCGGCCCUGCAAGGCGAGAUCCAGAAGCUGAGCGACGCUCUUGAGGACACCAAACAGCAGCACAGGCUGGCAGCUCAGCAAGCAGCCCAGUACAAGGAAGAGGCCUUGCAGGCGGGGAACACUCUGGAGGAUACCCAGAGGAAGCUGCAGGACUGCAUUUAUCUAGACCAGCAGAAAGCAGACACCAUCCAGGAUCUACAGAGAGAGGUGCAGAGGCUGCAGGCAGAAUCCGUAGCAGCUGGAGAGGAGCUGGCAAGCAACAGGAAACAGAUAGAUGAGCUGACCUCAAACCUCUCUGAUACCCUGGGGAAGCUGGAAAACUCAGACAAGGAAAAGAAGCAGUUGCAGAAGGCAGCAGAAGAGCAAGACCAGAAAUUAAAUGACAUGCAGGACCAGGUCAAACUUGUUCAGUACCAGAACAGGGACCUAUUAGGUGCCAAAAACAAGCUAGAAGAGGAGAUACCAGAGCUAACACAGACACUGAAGGACAAACGGGAGCAGUUGAAAAAGAGCAAAGAAAACGAGAAGCUUUUGGAGGAUGAAAUUGAGGCUCUGCGACAGGAGGAUAAAAAGAAGGAAAAGAUGUUGAGAGAAAAUUUGAGGAAACAGGAGGAGGAGAAAGGAAAUCUCCAAGAGGAGCUGAAGCAAUGUGCUACGCAGCUGGAAGUUUCUCUCAGCAAGUACAACGCCUCCCAGCAACUCAUCGAGGAGCUCAACUUAGAGAUGGCCCAACACAAGGAUGCCAUAGCGAAUCUGCAAGCCCAGCUGGACAAGGCGUUGCAGAAGGAGAAGCACUGCAUGCAGACCAUGGUGGCUAAAGAAAUCUAUGAUAACUUAUGCCGGAAGUCAACCACCUGCCAGGAUGACCUGACGCAAGCCCUGGAGAAGCUCAAUCAAGUGACCUCCGAGACAAAGAACCUGCAACGAAGCUUGUUACAGGCCCAAGACAAGAAAGCUCACCUGGAGGAUGAAAUCGUUGCUUAUGAGGACAGGAUGAAAAAGCUCAAUGUGGAAUUAAAAAAACUGCAGGGCUUCCACCAGCAGAGCGAGCUAGAGGUGCACGCCUUCGACAAGAAGCUAGAGGAGAUGAGCAACCAGGUGCUGCAGUGGCAGAAACAGCACCAGAACGACCUCAAGAUGCUGGCAGCCAAAGAGAUGCAGCUCAGGGAGUUCCAGGAGGAGAUGACCACGCUGAAGGAGAACCUCCUGGCAGACGAUAAGGAGCCCUGCUGCCUGUCCCAGCGGUCUGUGCCCAAAGACCCAUGUAGGCUCCACCGAGAGAACGACCAGAUCAUGUGCAACAUGGAACAGUGGGCAAAAGAGCAGAAGAUCGCCAACGAGAAACUAGGAAACAAGCUCCGUGAGCAGGUCAAGUACAUCGCCAAGCUGACUGGUGAAAAGGACCACCUGCACAAUGUGAUGGUCCAUCUGCAGCAGGAAAACAAGAAGCUGAAGAGUGAGAUAGAGGAGAAGAUAUUGGCCGGGAACUCAAAGAUGUGCACCAAAGCCCUAGGCCCCAGCAAACUGGAGCCCACCCAGCGAGGGAAAAUGUGUGGCCUCAUGGGCCCAAAAGUGGACAUCACCAAGAUCAUUGGGAUGCCUCACUGCCCAGAUCAUCAGAUGGGAAUUCACAUAGGGAGAAGAAGACAGGUUCCUCAAGACCUCGGUUCAUUUGCUUAGUUAACCUGAACCGGUGAUAACGGUCUCCACUUCUGAUGAUGGAAGAGGCAAAUUAAGACUCAUUCUGACCUAAGAAUUUUGAUGAUAUCCAAGUUCCUCAUAUUGCUAAAAUCAGCACCUUGCCCUGAGCAUCAUUUCCACGCACGUUUGCAGAAGACAGUGAGUUCCUAACCCUCUCUUUUGGCCUGGAUUAGCUCUUACAGAAAUAUGUUAAUGCCCUGGCUUAUUUUGCAAGAUGCUAACAUUUUGUUGAGUUUUGUCCACUUUCCUGCAGUGGAGUAAGCCUAGGAACCAUACUUCCACCUCCAGGUCCAAAUUCUGAAAUAAAGACAUGUGCACAGCA